ACACGCAGAGCACUAUGUCACUGGCCUCCUGGUUCCGGUGGAAUGAGCCCUCAAGCCGCAUUUCCCAGAAAAGCCCCACGGAGAUGGUGGUGGAGACGCUCAUGAUGGAGCUGAGCUGGCAGACCAAGCAGGCAGAGAAGCAGCAGCGAGAGCGGGAGAACGAGUAUCGCAAGAUCAAGACAGGGGUGGACUACGGCUGGCUGGUCAGCUAUCCAAAGCAGAGCUAUGAUAUCAGCCCAGGAGAGCGCCUGCAGCUGGAGGAUAUGUGUACCAAAAUCCACCCUUCCUACUGUGGGCCUGUCAUACUCAGAUUCCGGCAACUCAUUGCUGAAUAUGAACCAGAAGUGCAGGAAGUAUCCCGGCUCUUCCGCUCUGCCCUGCAGGAAGCUGCUGAGAAGAUCAAAGAAGAGGAAGAGGCCAAGAAGCUUGCCAGGCAAUGGAACACAAAGAACAAAACCAGCCUCUCCUUAACAACAUUUAAAUCCCGGUCCAGGAUUUCCCCGUUCAUCAGUGACAUCAAGACCAUCUCUGAGGAUGUGGAACGGGGCACCCAGCCCACCAGGAGGGUUUGGAGCAUGCCGGAAUUUCGGAACGCCAAGGAUUACUGACUCUAUGUUGAAUAAGGUUUUUAGAUCUUUCACAAUCCCAGUUAACUCUUUUCUAGCUCUACUGUUUGUUCUUUCUCCCUGCCUGUCUCUUCUCUUGGAAGCUGUGUCCAUAGUGACUGCUGCUGAUGCCCGCGGUGUGUGACACAAUUCAUGACCAAACAUGCUAGCCUUUCCUUUAAUUUAGUAGCUAAUCAGUAACCUUAAGGGCAAGGCUCACUGACUGUCCUCUUUUUAUGGCUGCUUUCUUGUGGGAAAUGAAUUAUUUUGCGAUGUCUGCCUUCUCCCUUUCCCCCCAGCCUGGAUGUAGUUAUCUAGAAAAGCUUUUGGCACAAGCUAGUGAGAGCUGCUGGCUGGACCAAUCUUGCUGAAAGCAAGACAGCCACUUCCAUGAGUAAGGCUUGCAGGAUCAGGCCUGUGAGUUAAAGCUACUAUCUGAUUUGGAACUGAACUUCCUUUUCCAACUAAUAAAUAGCCUUCCCCAGUGCUACAGGAAACUUCACAGGUAACCUCAGCACUGCUCUUGAUCAGCUUUUUGCUGACAACUCACAAUCCAACCUGAGUAGAAACAGACCCCAAGCUUUUUGAGAUGAAAGACCAAUAUUAUUCCACAGCAACAAGUUUAUGCAUGCUCAGGUUUCUUGGGUAUUUUCUCUUUUGUGCAGGCAGAACCCCCUGAACCUCGCACCUGCAGAGUAGAUAGAAAGGUAACAACGUGCUGUGUAGAUAUACAGGCGGAUACAUCAGCGCUGUGUCAAAUGCUGUUCUUGGUCCUCAGUGUUCUGUGUUGCUGAGGAGAGUCAGGAGUAACUGACUUCCUUUCACCAAUGUACAAAGCCAAGGAAAAUCGCCUGAAGCGUGUUCACGCUAUCACAGCAGCCUGAGAUCAUACUGUGUCCUUCAUUAACCACCUCCAGCUAGCAGCUACCAUUGUCCUUUAACAGCCAGCAAAGGGAGACAACUCUGACCUUUGGUCAAAGCCAUGGAUGUGAGAGGCCAGCCUGCAGCAGUGCCUGCCACAGCUGUUCUGCCUCAACUUACCUAUCAUUUCUAUUUCCUCAAUAAAAUACAAUCCAAGCUUUUAAGCAGCA